rnacentral:rRNA from 1 species
GAUCCUGGCUCAGGACGAACGCUGGCGGCGUGCCUAAUACAUGCAAGUAGAACGCACAGGAUGCACCGUAGUUUACUACACCGUAUUCUGUGAGUUGCGAACGGGUGAGUAACGCGUAGGUAACCUGCCUGGUAGCGGGGGAUAACUAUUGGAAACGAUAGCUAAUACCGCAUAAGAACAUUUACUGCAUGGUAGAUGUUUAAAAGGUGCAAAAGCAUCACUACCAGAUGGACCUGCGUUGUAUUAGCUAGUUGGUGAGGUAACGGCUCACCAAGGCAACGAUACAUAGCCGACCUGAGAGGGUGAUCGGCCACACUGGGACUGAGACACGGCCCAGACUCCUACGGGAGGCAGCAGUAGGGAAUCUUCGGCAAUGGGGGGAACCCUGACCGAGCAACGCCGCGUGAGUGAAGAAGGUUUUCGGAUCGUAACGCUCUGUUGUUAAGGAAGAACGUGUGUGAGAGUGGAAAGUUCACACAGUGACGGUACUUAACCAGAAAGGGACGGCUAACUACGUGCCAGCAGCCGCGGUAAUACGUAGGUCCCGAGCGUUGUCCGGAUUUAUUGGGCGUAAAGCGAGCGCAGGCGGUUAGAUAAGUCUGAAGUGAAAGGCAGUGGCUCAACCAUUGUAGGCUUUGGAAACUGUUUAACUUGAGUGCAGAAGGGGAGAGUGGAAUUCCAUGUGUAGCGGUGAAAUGCGUAGAUAUAUGGAGGAACACCGGUGGCGAAAGCGGCUCUCUGGUCUGUAACUGACGCUGAGGCUCGAAAGCGUGGGGAGCGAACAGGAUUAGAUACCCUGGUAGUCCACGCCGUAAACGAUGAGUGCUAGGUGUUAGGUCCUUUCCGGGACUUAGUGCCGCAGCUAACGCAUUAAGCACUCCGCCUGGGAGUACG